rnacentral:lncRNA from 1 species
AUGUUGCCCUCCUCGACAGAUGAAGAUGGACUCAUGAUUAUAGGACUGGCCACAUGUAAGUACAUUACAGUUUGCUUAAGUUUAUGUUUAUAUUUGAUAGGCAAUGGAAUUAGUUUUUUUCCUGAACAAUUUGACAAAAAGAUGCUUCAUGUUAAAAUGGGACUUGUAAAUAAACUCAUCAUAGAUACCUGGAUUAAAGUUUCAUAUUUAUGCCAGACGCGCCUUUAGUCUACAAAAGACUCAUCAGUGACGCUCAAAUCAAAAAAUGUUAAAAGCAGUCCUCUGCAAAGAGCAAGCUUUAGGUUUUAAUGUAACGUUGACACGCUAAUUAAAAGAUUAAAUUCUGAAAACUUGAAACGGCAAAUAGCCUCUAUUAAAGGUGAUAUUAAUUGAUAGUUUUUGUUACAGAUACAGCAUCUAGUAUAUGUUGCCCUCCUCGACAGAUGAAGAAUGAGACUCAUGAUUAUAGGACUGGCCACAUGUAAGUACAUUACAGUUUGCUUAAGUUUAUGUUUAUAUUUGAUAGGCAAUAAAAUUAGUUUUUUUCCUGAACAAUUUGAAAAAAAGAUGCUUCAUGUUAAAAUGGGACUUGUAAAUAAACUCAUAUAGAUACCUGAAUUAAAAUUUAAUAUUAACGCCAGACGAUGUCGUCUACAAAAGACUCAUCAGUGACGCUCAAAUCAAAAAAAUGUUAAAAGCAGUCCUCGACAGAAAGAUGAGCCAAUCAAAUUAUAAUAUAAUUCAAUUCAAUAUUUUAUUGGAAAGAGCACAAUAUAAUAUAAUACUUUUUCCUUAAUUUUCUUAUGUAUAGACUUUCGUAUUCUUUAAUUAUAUCGAUAUUUCACAAUCAUUAGAAAGUACGAAAUCAUCAAUCUGGACAUGUCCUCAAAAUUCAAUGUAUCUUUAGCAAUAGGUACAUAACGUGCCUAUUAUGAUUGGCAAAGUGCACUGACGUAUUUUGAAAUGUGUACGCACUUACAUUUUUACAUGAAUAUAAUAAUUAGAUUCUGUAAACACCAAAACAGUACCUAACGACGUAUACAUGUAAAACAAAGUACAUCUAGAAAAGUUAACAUAAAAGCUUCUAAUAUUCUAGGUUUUUAUAUGACUAUUCGAGUUUGUUCGAUUUACCAAAUUUGAUAUUUAUGUGCAAGGUGCGCAAUUUUUGAUGAAAAAAACAUAAUCUGUCUGUGUUAAAAAGUGUCGGAAUGAAGAAUAAAAAAGAAUGCAUAUGGAAAAAAUCAAUUUAAAAGGAGAUUUGAGAAAACAGGUCGGACUAGGUUUUAUCCAUACUCACGGUAUGACAUCUGUAUGAGUAUUACUUAGACUGAGUUUUCUAGCAACAUUACGAAUAUUUCGAAUUCUGAUGCCUAAGAUGAAUAUCAAAACAGAUAUGAUUAAUUAGACCCCGUUAACACUUGCACGGAAUUGAAUAAAUCAUCUCUGAAGAGCAUCUCUCGUUUCGAUUUUAAGAACUUGUGCGUUUACAUUUAGUAUACAUUGCAUAUCUAAAAUAAUCGUCUAACCAUUUCGAUAACAAAAAAUCGUAGAAAAUUGAAUAAGGAAAUAUUUGGUUCAUGAGAUUAAUUAUAUAUGCUUCUGCAUUAUUUAUUUUAUUUUGAAAACAGUCAUAAGUAAUCAUAAACAAAGAUGUCAGAAAAAAAAUUACGUAUAACGGAAGAUGAGUAAUUUACAGAAAAUAAAAAAUAAUAAUGAAUAAAUACAAUUGAAAAGAUAUUUUUUAAAAGGUGCAUGAAUACCACACGUAUAAUGCGAAUAUGGAACUAAAAGUAACAGGGCAUCAGUUGAACAUGAAAUGAGUUUUACCCUGUAUAGUUAUUUACCUCUUAGAAAUAUAUAGAUCAGAGCAAGAAAAAAAAUGGAAAAGAUUUUUUAAAAAGGUGUUACUUUAACAAACAUAUUGUAAGCGAAUAAGUAGCAGGUCAUCGGUCUAGCGCUAAAACUGUACAUCACGGUAAUAGUAAUUUCAUUUUAAGAACCCAUACAUGACACCAAGACAGAAAACUUAAAAAAUUUGCGUAAUAGGUGCAACGUAUUUCAACGUAUAAGCAAAUAAGGAAACGAAUAAGUAAUGGUAUCAGUCGAGCGCUGAAACGGUUCCUGUCUCAAUCAGGAGUUAAUUAAGGGGUUUUGUUUGUAAAAGACUACAUCUAUUAGUUUUUUAUUAAUUUUGUUUUGUUAUUUUCAGUUUGAAUUGUGUUACAUUUGUCUUUCGGACCUUUUGUAGUUGGUUAUGCGGUAUGGGAUUUUCAUGUUGUAGCCGUACUUUUGAUAGUUAAAAAUUUCCUGUGUCAAUUGGUCAUUUGUGGAGAAUUGUGUUAUUUGCAAUCAUAGCACAUCUUCUUUUUUUAUUUAUUAUUUUGAGAAUGACGCAAAAAACGUCGAAUAUAUGUAUUUGGUUUUUAUUAUCUUAUGCACGUUCUGUCAAUCAUUUGAGAAUAACACUGAAAUCAGCUUUUUUAAGAACAUUUUUAAACUGACCAUGCGCAGAUUAUUUUCAUAUCUACAUAAAACACUUGAAUUUUAUAUCGAUUGAUUGAUUGAAAGUCAUCGCGAUGUAUAAAAAGUUUCACUUGAAGAAAAAUUGGUCUUUUAAAACUACAUCUGGAAUGGAUGUUUACGUCAAUUGAAGAUCAUCUUUUCAUUUUGCAAUACUAAGAUAUCUCAGAAAUGAUCGAUCCUUAUUGUUAGUGGAAACGAGUCUUAUAUUUCUAAUAUUUUAAGUAAUUAUCAUCUAAAUAAAAAACGACAUUCUAAACGAAAUUAAAAUUCAUGAUAUAUAUACUGAGCUAAAUUCUGUCAUGUCUUUCAGAUAUACUUGAUUGAACAAUGAUAUAUAAAAAAUGUUUCACUAUUUUAAAAAGAAUUUCUGUUAAACACAUAAGCACUAUGAAUAACCUAAAUGAAAUGUUCAUAGAAGCAUUCGUUGUACAUUUUACAACGCAUUGUUUCCAACCACCGCAUUUAUAUUACGUGUCUGUGAUUAUAUACCGACUUAAAACUUAAAACUAAGAACUAUCAUGUGUAGAUUAAUGUGAAUUUAUCGUAGUUUAAAACAAACAAACAACAAAUCAGCAAAUAACGAGAACUAGGUUGUCCCUAAUUUGUAAGAAUAUAGCCUAAACCGGCCGAACGUCUUUCGACGUUGUUUUUAGAAUUGCGCAAUAUGUUCCCGCCAAUUCAAAUGUUACCCCUUUUUAGAAAUAUUCUUUUUCCAUUACGGUGACCCAUCUUUUUAUUCCUUAUUUUGUUUAGAUAUAAACAACGCAUAUUCUAUUGAAGACUCAUGGAGAAAUUAUGGUCAAUUGUUUUUAAAAUUUUUUAUGGGUUUUUCAGAAUAAAAAAGGCGGGGAAAACUAAUAAACUUAUCAUUAUUAUUUUCCACUCAGAAAUGGUGAUAUUAUUAAAAUUUUGUUAUAACAAUAGUUAACAAAACAGACAAGUUUUUAUUGGAUAACGGACUUUAAAAAAAUAUUACACUGCUAUUGAAUAGAAUCCCAAUUUCCAAAUUCCGUGAAAAAGAUGCGUUUUAAUCGAAAACGAGUCGGUAAUUUUUAUUUGCUUAUUUUAAAGCUUUUAAGUAAGUAAAAUAAAAUAUAAAGAAGAUAUUAUUGGUAGAUCUGAAUAGAAGAAUUUGUCUUUAAUGUAACGUUGACACGCUAAUUCAAAGAUUAAAUUCUGAAAACUUGAAACAGCAAAUAGCCUCUAUUUAAAGGUGAUAUUAAUUGAUAGUUUUUGUUACAGAUACAGCAUCUAGUAUAUGUUGCCCUCCUCGACAGAUGAAGAAUGAAGACUCAUCAGUAUAGGACUGGCCACAUGUAAGUACAUUACAGUUUGCUUAAGUUUAUGUUUAUAUUUGAUAGGCAAUGGAAUUAGUUUUUUUCCUCAACAAUUUGACAAAAAGAUGCUUCAUGUUAAAAUGGGACUUGUAAAUUUAACUCAUCAUAGAUACCUGAAUUAAAAUUUAAUAUUUACGCCAGACGCAUGUUUCGUCUACAAAAGACUCAUCAGUGACGCUCAAAUCAAAAAAAGUUAAAUGCAGUCCUCUGCAAAGAGCAAGCUUUAGGUUUUAAUGUAACCUUGACGCGCUAAUUCAAAGAUUAAAUUCUGAAAACUUGAAACAGCAAAUAGCCUCUAUUUAAAGGUGAUAUUAAUUGAUAGUUUUUGUUACAGAUACAGCAUCUAGUAUAUGUUGCCCUCCUCGACAGAUGAAGAAUGAAGACUCAUCAGUAUAGGACUGGCCACAUGUAAGUACAUUACAGUUUGUAAGUUUAUGUUUAUAUUUGAUAGGCAAUGGAAUUAGUUUUUUUCCUCACCAAUUUGACAAAAAGAUGCUUCAUGUUAAAAUGGGACUUGUAAAUUAAACUCAUCAUAGAUACCUGAAUUAGAAAUUUAAUAUUUACGCCAGACGCAUGUUUCGUCUACAAAAGACUCAUCAGUGACGCUCAAAUCAAAAAAUGUUAAAAGCAGUCCUCUGCAAAGAGCAAGCUUUAGGUUUUAAUGUAACGUUGACACGCUAAUUCAAAGAUUAAAUUCUGAAAACUUGAAACAGCAAAUAGCCUCUAUUUAAAGGUGAUAUUAAUUGAUAGUUUUUGUUACAGAUACAGCAUCUAGUAUAUGUUGCCCUCCUCGACAGAUGAAGACUCAAUGAGUAUAGGACUGGCCACAUGUAAGUACAUUACAGUUUGCUUAAGUUUAUGUUUAUAUUUGAUAGGCAAUGGAAUUAGUUUUUUUCCUCAACAAUUUGACAAAAAGAUGCUUCAUGUUAAAAUGGGACUUGUAAAUAACUCAUCAUAGAUACCUGAAUUAAAAUUUAAUAUUUACGCCAGACGCAUGUUUCGUCUACAAAAGACUCAUCAGUGACGCUCAAAUCAAAAAAUGUUAAAAGCAGUCCUCUGCAAAGAGCAAGCUUUAGGUUUUAAUGUAACCUUGACACGCUAAUUCAAAGAUUAAAUUCUGAAAACUUGAAACAGCAAAUAGCCUCUAUUUAAAGGUGAUAUUAAUUGAUAGUUUUUGUUACAGAUACAGCAUCUAGUAUAUGUUGCCCUCCUCGACAGAUGAAGAAUGAAGACUCAUCAGUAUAGGACUGGCCACAUGUAAGUACAUUACAGUUUGCUUAAGUUUAUGUUUAUAUUUGAUAGGCAAUGGAAUUAGUUUUUUUCCUCAACAAUUUGACAAAAAGAUGCUUCAUGUUAAAAUGGGACUUGUAAAUUAAACUCAUCAUAGAUACCUGAAUUAAAAUUUAAUAUAUUUACGCCAGACGCAUGUUUCGUCUACAAAAGACUCAUCAGUGACGCUCAAAUCAAAAAAAUGUUAAAAGCAGUCCUCUGCAAAGAGCAAGCUUUAGGUUUUAAUGUAACCUUGACACGCUAAUUCAAAGAUUAAAUUCUGAAAACUUGAAACAGCAAAUAGCCUCUAUUUAAAGGUGAUAUUAAUUGAUUGUUUUUGUUACAGAUACAGCAUCUAGUAUAUGUUGCCCUCCUCGACAGAUGAAGAUAGACUCAUGAUUAUAGGACUGGCCACAUGUAUGUACAUUACAGUUUGCUUAAGUUUAUGUUUAUAUUUGAUAGGCAAUUAAAUUAGUUUUUAUCCUGAACAAUUUGACAAUAAGAUGCUUCAUGUUAAAAUGCAACUUGUAAAUUAAACACAUCAUAGAUACCUGAAUUAAAAUUUAAUAUUUACUCCAGACGCAUGUUUCGUCUACAAAAGACUCAUCAGUGACGCUCAAAUCAAAAAAUGUUAAAAGCAGUCCUCUGCAAAGAACAAGCUUUAGGUUUUAAUGUAACGUUGACAUGCUAAUUCAAAGAUUAAAUUCUGAAAACUUGAAACAGCAAAUAGCCUCUAUUUAAAGGUGAUAUUAAUUGAUAGUUUUUGUUACAGAUACAGCAUCUAGUAUAUGUUGCCCUCCUCGACAGAUGAAGACUCAUGAGUAUAGGACUGGCCACAUGUAAGUACAUUACAGUUUGCUUAAGUUUAUGUUUAUAUUUGAUAGGCAAUGGAAUUAGUUUUUUUCCUCAACAAUUUGACAAAAAGAUGCUUCAUGUUAAAAUGGGACUUGUAAAUAAACUCAUCAUAGAUACCUGAAUUAAAAUUUAAUAUUUACGCCAGACACAUGUUUCGUCUACAAAAGACUCAUCAGUGACGCUCAAAUCAGAAAUUGUUAAAAGCAGAUCUCUGCAAAGACCAAACUUUAGGUUUUGAUGUAACGUUGACAUGCUAAUUAAAAGAUUAAAUUCUGAAAAAUUGAAACGGCAAAUACCCUCUAUUUUAAGGUUAUAUUAAUUGAUAGUUUUUGUUACAGAUACAGCAUCUAGUAUAUGUUGCCCUCCUCGACAGAUGAAGAUGGACUCAUGAUUAUAGGACUGGCCACAUGUAUGUACAUUACAGUUUGCUUAAGUUUAUGUUUAUAUUUGAUAGGCAAUA